rnacentral:rRNA from 1 species
GUCUAUGGCCAUGCCUCCCUGAACACGCCGGAUCCGUCUGAUCUCCGAAGCUAAGCAGGGUCGGGCAUGGUUAGUACUUGGAUGGGAGACCACCUAGGAAGACCAGGUGCUGUAGGCA